rnacentral:rRNA from 1 species
CACGUAGGCACCAAGCGUUGUCCGGAUUUAUUGGGCGUAAAGAGCUCGUAGGCGGUUCAGUAAGUCGGGUGUGAAAACUCUGGGCUCAACCCGGAGACGCCACCCGAUACUGCUGUGACUUGAGUUCGGUAGGGGAGUGGGGAAUUUCUAGUGUAGCGGUGAAAUGCGCAGAUAUUAGAAGGAACACCGGUGGCGAAGGCGCCACUCUGGGCCGAAACUGACGCUGAGGAGCGAAAGCGUGGGUAGCAAACAGG